ensembl:lncRNA
UAUGAGAGAAUGAGAGAUUUGGUUACACUCUAACUCUAAAAGAGAGUGAGAUAGACAGAGAGAGAGAGAGAGAGGGAGAGAGAGAGAGAGAGAUGUCCUGGUACCUUGAGCAGCUUGAGCACUGUGAUUGGUUCAGUCGGCAGGCCCCUGAGUCACUAAAGCAGAGGCUGAGAUUCUGUGUGUGAAUGAGAAACAACACCAAGUUACCUGUGGAAAACUUUAGAACUGAGGAGGUAAGCAUGCUGCUGGAUAUGUUACUCAUCCUUCAUCUUCAUGUGCUAGUCAUAGCAUCUUCAUCCUCCGUUAAGGAAGACGGGAGCAGUAAGAGAGAUGCCGAACACAGUAAAGGUUCUUCUCAUCAGCACCACUGGGGUUACCAUGUGUCUGUGCUAUCAGUCAAGCGUCCCCAGCUAAGCAAGCCAAAGGCAACCAAAACUCCAUCUGUGACAGAAAUGGAGAAACCAGGCUCAGUCGAGGGGGUUGGCAGUUCUUCUCUGAACAGACAAAACCAGCGUGGUGUGGUUUAA